AAUACUUAUAGAUUAUCGUUGAUCAUCUCAACGAGAUUGAUUUUCUCGCUUGAGCUGGUACAGCGAAAGUGAGAAAAGCAAUCGAGUUGAGAUGACCAAUGAUAAUCUAUUUAUCGCUAUUUUACCUAUGACGACGUUGUCAAUUUCAUCAUGUUCAUGUCAAUUUCGUUAGCAACGCCGCGUGGCCUCCUUAGUUUCUAGUGAUAAUUAUUCCAUCUCAAGCGAG
rnacentral:lncRNA from 1 species